GACAGACACAGCCACGGAGCCGAUCCCUUGUCUGGCCUGUACAGAUCAGACAGAAGCCUUUAAGAGCCCUCCCCUGAUCAAUCCCUGAGGUCUCUGCAUUGAUUUCAUGGGAUCAUCGAACUCCCACAUGGCUUCUCAUCUGCUUAUAGCCAUCAUGUAGGGGACCCCUGGCCAGAAGCUGAUCUACUAUAAGACCUAUACUUAGAGUGGAACAGCAGCAUCAGCAACAUGUGGGAGCUGGUUAGGAAUGCGGAACCUGGGACCCCUCCUCAGACCUACUGAAUCAGAAACUGCAUCUUAACAAGAAUCCUUAGGUACUGUUGAAAUCUUCCAGAACCAUUGCGGGACCCUGGUCGGGUGGUUUGAUCCCACUGAUCUGCACAACGCCUGCCUGUUUCUUCCUUUUCCUCAGCUUGACUCUUUUCUAGUUGCCUCUGAAUACCAAGCCCACACAGGAACAUGCUGCCCAUUUUUAGAAUAUCUAUGGGAUAAAUGGGGUUAAGUGUUCAGAACAGAAUCUCAGGUUUUAAGAACAAGUUAAAAACAUGUGUUUGCAAAGCCAAGUCCAUCACUUCAAGGCUUCUAAGAACUGGUUCCAGUGCCCGAGUGCUGACUGUGGAUGAGGAGCCCCUCCCCAGCCAUGUGCUGGGGCCAGAGCCACAUCCACGCCUGUAGGAACAUCAUCCUGGGCUGAGGUGAUAGCUAUACUCACAAUGCGGGGGAGGUACAGUCUCUUGCCCUUUUCUUUAAAAACAGCUUUAAUAAGAAAUAAGGGGCACAUUCUAAAAGAGGAGCCCCAAUCAGGGACUUAGAAGCAAGAAUGCCAGGCUUUUUGCCACAAGCCUUGAAGACCUCAAAGCCUACUGUGUGUCCUGAGAGGAGAAGUGAGUGAGCUGAGGCUUACCAAAACCCUGAAGGACCGCUAAAAAUGCUCGAGGGCCACAGAAGAUGAUGCUGUGAGCGCUCAUUCACUCCACAGAGGUUUUCUUGUGUCAGGCAUAGUCCUGGGCAGUCAUGAAAGAAUAGUCACUACUUGGGGCAGGUGAUGUCCCGUGGCUGGUGACAACUAGGAGCAAAACUUCUCAGCUCUCCUUUUGAACCUGUCUUUCUCCUUGGGGGACAAUGUUCUCAAGAUGAAAAUGUCAGAAGAAAUGGCUCAAAGUGGCACUGACACCCAGCAUUGGGGACAAGAAUAAAACUGCCCUAUGGCCAUAUAAAUGCUCUGUUUGGAAGACUUCAGGGUCAUCGUCAAUGACCUUAGAGAUUUAGACUCUAGAACUGGUCAGGGGUCUGGGAGAAAUCAUGGUGAGCAGAAGUGCCUGAAGAACAGAGACAGGCAAAUGCUGCCCUGAUUUUUUUUAAAUGGGAAAAAAAAUGGGCCCUGGAAGUGUUACAUUGAUAAGUCGGAUGCUGAUUUCUGGACUAGUGGUGUGUACUUAGCAGAGAAAAAGGUGAUAAUUCUUAAUUACCCACUAGCAUGGAUAAGCCAUGCAAAACUAGUCCUAUUUUCUCACUUUUUAUUGUUUUACUAUGAAAGUGUAGCAGAUGGGAUAUAGUUUGCAAAAAGCAAGUUUUAAAAUUUUUAUGUAACUAUCUCAGGGUCUCAUUUUCCAAAAACUUAAUCUAACUAUAUUGGGGGAAAGUCAAUGAAAUAUUAUGAUUUCAAAGUCAUUAUGCAAUUAAAACUCUCUUAUUCAGGUUUCAUUUCCCUAUUUACCUCCUUUCCCCUGGGACUGAUUAUAAGCUCUGGGUUUAAGCAAAUGCCAGUGUUGAAUGAAAAAAAGCAUUUACUUCUACAUCUUAAUCUCGCCUGGUCUGCACUCCCUUGAAAUGUAGAAUUGACUGAAGGUAAUCAAAGGAUAGUUGCCUCUAUGGCCACAUCUACUAAGAGUCUCUGGUCUGGUCCUCCUACUGCUGUCUAUUGGAUGGUCCAUGCCAUUCUCUUCUCUGUUGUUCCCUCUCUGCAAAAAUGGAAUGGCUUCGGGACUUCCCUGGUGGCGCCGUGGUUAAGGAUCCGCCUGCCAACGCAGGAGACAUGGGUUCAAUCCCUGGUCCAGGAAGAUCCCACAUGCCACAGAGCAACUAAACCUGUACGCCUCAACUACAGAGCCUGCACUUUAGAGCCUGCGUGCCGCAACUACUGAGCCCGCAUGCUGCAACUACUGAAGCCUGCACAGCUAGAACCUGUGCUCCGCAACGAGAAGCCUCCAUGAUGAGAAGCCCGUGCACCACAAGGAAGAGUAGCCCCUGCUCACCACAACUAGAGAAAGCCCGCACGCAGCAAUGAAGACCCAAUACAGCCAAAAAAAAACCUC